rnacentral:rRNA from 1 species
GAUGAACGCUGGCGGCGUGCUUAACACAUGCAAGUCGAACGAUGAAGCCCAGCUUGCUGGGUGGAUUAGUGGCGAACGGGUGAGUAACACGUGAGUAACCUGCCCUUGACUCUGGGAUAAGCCCGGGAAACUGGGUCUAAUACCGGAUAGGAGCGCCUGUCGCAUGACGGGUGUUGGAAAGAUUUUUCGGUCAUGGAUGGACUCGCGGCCUAUCAGCUUGUUGGUGAGGUAAUGGCUCACCAAGGCGACGACGGGUAGCCGGCCUGAGAGGGCGACCGGCCACACUGGGACUGAGACACGGCCCAGACUCCUACGGGAGGCAGCAGUGGGGAAUAUUGCACAAUGGGCGGAAGCCUGAUGCAGCGACGCCGCGUGAGGGAUGACGGCCUUUCGGGUUGUAAACCUUCU